rnacentral:rRNA from 1 species
UGGGGAAUAUUGCACAAUGGGCGCAAGCCUGAUGCAGCCAUGCCGCGUGUAUGAAGAAGGCCUUCGGGUUGUAAAGUACUUUCAGUCGGGAGGAAGGUGGUAAGGUUAAUAACCUUGGCAAUUGACGUUACCGACAGAAGAAGCACCGGCUAACUCCGUGCCAGCAGCCGCGGUAAUACGGAGGGUGCAAGCGUUAAUCGGAAUUACUGGGCGUAAAGCGCACGCAGGCGGUUGAUUGAGUCAGAUGUGAAAUCCCCGGGCUUAACCCGGGAAUUGCAUCUGAUACUGGUCAGCUAGAGUCUUGUAGAGGGGGGUAGAAUUCCAUGUGUAGCGGUGAAAUGCGUAGAGAUGUGGAAGAAUACCGGUGGCGAAGGCGGCCCCCUGGACAAAGACUGACGCUCAGGUGCGAAAGCGUGGGGAGCAAACAGG